rnacentral:rRNA from 1 species
AACAAAAACAUGUCCUUUUGGUAUUUAUAUAAGGUCUGACCUGCCCACUGAUUAAUUAAAUGGCCGCAGUAUUUUGACUGUGCAAAGGUAGCAUAAUCAUUAGUUUUUUAAUUAAAAGCUUGUAUGAAGGGUUGGACGAGGUAAAAUCUGUCUCUAUUUAAUUUAUUUUAGAAUUUAAUUUUUAAGUUAAAAAGCUUAAAUUAUUGUAAAAGACGAGAAGACCCUAUAGAUCUUUAUAUUUUUAUAAAUAAUUUUAAUUAGGAAUAUUUAAUUUUUUAUUUAUUUUAAUAUUUUAUUGGGGUAAUAAGAAGAUUGAAAAAAUUCUUUUUAAAAUUUAAUACUAAUUAGUAAUUAUGUGAUCCAAUAUUUUUGAUUAUAAGAUUAAGUUACCUUAGGGAUAACAGCGUAAUUUUUUUUGAGAGUUCAUAUCGAUAAAAAAGUUUGCGACCUCGAUGUUG